UACGUAGGGUGCAAGCGUUGUCCGGAAUUAUUGGGCGUAAAGAGCUCGUAGGCGGCCUGUCGCGUCGGAUGUGAAAGCCCGGGGCUUAACCCCGGGUCUGCAUUCGAUACGGGCAGGCUAGAGUGUGGUAGGGGAGAUCGGAAUUCCUGGUGUAGCGGUGAAAUGCGCAGAUAUCAGGAGGAACACCGGUGGCGAAGGCGGAUCUCUGGAACGGUACUGACGCUGAGACGCGAAAGCGUGGGGAGCGAACAGG
rnacentral:rRNA from 1 species